rnacentral:rRNA from 1 species
CAGCGCCACGAGUGGCAACCAUAUUUAUUGGGCCUAAAGCGUCCGUAGCCGGUUUAAUAAGUCUUCUGUGAAAUCGUUGGGCUCAACUUAACGCUGUGCAGAAGAUACUGUUGAACUUGGAACUGGGAGGAGUUAGAAGUAUUCUAGGGGGAGCGGUAAAAUGCUAUAAUCCCUAGAGGACUACCUAUGGCGAAGGCAUCUAACUAGAACAGAUUCGACGGUGAGGGACGAAAGCCAGGGGAGCAAAACGGAUUAGAUACCCGAGUAGUCC